rnacentral:rRNA from 1 species
GCAUAUCAAUAAGGGGAGGAAAAGAAACCAACAGGGAUUGCCUCAGUAACGGCGAGUGAAGCGGCAAAAGCUCAAAUUUGAAAUCUGGCGGUUUUACCGUCCGAGUUGUAAUUUGUAGAGGUAGCUUUGGGUAUACAGCCAGGUCUAUGUUCCUUGGAACAGGACGUCAUGGAGGGUGAGAAUCCCGUAAAUGGCUUGGCCAGUGCCUAUGUAUAGCGCCUUCAACGAGUCGAGUUGUUUGGGAAUGCAGCUCUAAGCGGGUGGUAAAUUCCAUCUAAAGCUAAAUACUGGCGAGAGACCGAUAGCGCACAAGUAGAGUGAUCGAAAGGUGAAAAGCACUCCGGAAGGAGAGUUAAACAGCACGUGAAAUUGUUGAAAGGGAAGCGCUUGAGACCAGACUCAGGCAGGGUUGAUCAGUCUCCAUUCUUGGUGAUGCACUCUUCUCUGUCCGGGCCAGCAACAGUUUUGACGGUGGUAUAAAGGUUUAGGGAAUGUGGCACUCUUCGGGGUGUGUUAUAGCCCUAUUCGUAAUGCUGCCAGUUGAGACUGAGGACCGCGCUUCGGCUAGGUUGUUGGCAUAAUGGUCUUAAGCGACCCGUCUUGAAACACGGACCAAGGAGUCUAACAUCUAUGCGAGUGUUUGGGUGGAAAACCCUUACGCGUAAUGAAAGUGAACGGAGGUGGGAUCCCGCAAGGGCGCACCAUCGACCGAUCCUGAUGUCUUCGGAUGGAUUUGAGUAGGAGCAUAGCUGUUGGGACCCGAAAGAUGGUGAACUAUGCCUGUAUAGGGUGAAGCCAGAGGAAACUCUGGUGGAGGCUCGCAGCGGUUCUGACGUGCAAAUCGAUCGUCAAAUAUGGGUAUAGGGGCGAAAGACUAAUCGAACCAUCUAGUAGCUGGGUUCCUGCCGAAG